rnacentral:rRNA from 1 species
GGUGAUCGUGAUUAUUGGGUCUAAAGGGUCCGUAGCCGGUUGGUCAGUCCUCCGGGAAAUCUGAUAGCUCAACUAUUAGGCCUUCGGGGGAUACUGCCAGACUUGGAACCGGGAGAGGUAAGAGGUACUACAGGGGUAGGAGUGAAAUCUUGUAAUCCCUGUGGGACCACCUGUGGCGAAGGCGUCUUACCAGAACGGGUUCGACGGUGAGGGACGAAAGCUGGGGGCACGAACCGGAUUAGAUACCCGGGUAGUCCCAGCCGUAAACGAUGCUCGCUAGGUGUCAGGCAUGGCGCGACCGUGUCUGGUGCCGCAGGGAAGCCGUGAAGCGAGCCACCUGGGAAGUACGGCCGCAAGGCUGAAACUUAAAGGAAUUGGCGGGGGAGCACAACAACGGGUGAAAGCCUGCGGUUUAAUUGGACUCAACGCCGGACAACUCACCGGGGGCGACAGCAAUAUGUAGGCCAAGCUGAAGACUUUGCCUGAAUCGCUGAGGAGUGGUGCAUGG